rnacentral:rRNA from 1 species
CACAUGCAAGUCGAGCGACAGUGCUCUUCGGGGCAUAUGGAGCGGCGAACGGGUGAGUAACACGUGGGCAACCUGCCCUCAGCUCUGGGACAACUCCGGGAAACCGGGGCUAAUACCGGACAUGACAGUGUCCUGCAUGGGGUGCUGUGGAAAGUUUUUCGGCUGAGGAUGGGCCCGCGGCCUAUCAGCUUGUUGGUGGGGUGAUGGCCUACCAGGGCGACGACGGGUAGCCGGCCUGAGAGGGCGACCGGCCACACUGGGACUGAGACACGGCCCAGACUCCUACGGGAGGCAGCAGUGGGGAAUAUUGCGCAAUGGGCGGAAGCCUGACGCAGCGACGCCGCGUGAGGGAUGAAGGCCUUCGGGUUGUAAACCUCUUUCAGCAGGGACGAAGCGGAAGUGACGGU